UACGUAGGCAGCGAGCGUUGUUCGGAGUUACUGGGCGUAAAGGGUGUGUAGGCGGUUCUCUAAGUUUGGUGUGAAAUCUCCCGGCUCAACCGGGAGGGUGCGCCGAAAACUGGAGGGCUAGAGUGCGGGAAGGGAGAGUAGAAUUCCUGGUGUAGGCGGUGAAAUGCGUAGAUAUCGGGAAGAACACCCGUGGCGAAGGCGGCACUCUGGGACGGUACUGGACGCUGAGACGCGAAAGCGUGGGGAGCGAACAGG
rnacentral:rRNA from 1 species